rnacentral:misc_RNA from 1 species
CAAAUCCCUGCAAUUUUCUAGAAUACGAGAAAGAAACAUGAAGCCGAUGCAGAUGGAUUUCUUCGCGGACAUGGAGGAGCAGGGAUCUACAGUUGCGAUGGACGUGGAUGACGUUGAUCCACUGGAGAUCUUCGGCGAAGGUGUUAUCAACGUCGACAAUAAGCUUGCCGACGCCGAUUUCUUCAACAAUUUCGAGGACGAUUUCGAUG